rnacentral:rRNA from 1 species
UGGGGAAUAUUGCGCAAUGGGCGAAAGCCUGACGCAGCAACGCCGCGUGAGUGAUGAAGGCCUUCGGGUCGUAAAGCUCUGUCGGAGGGAACGAAUGCUCCUGAAGUUAACAGCCUCAGGAGGUGACGGUACCCUCAAAGGAAGCACCGGCUAACUCUGUGCCAGCAGCCGCGGUAAUACAUAGGGUGCAAGCGUUGUCCGGAAUUAUUGGGCGUAAAGAGCUCGUAGGUGGUUCGUCACGUCGGAUGUGAAAAUCUGGGGCUUAACCCCAGACCUGCAUUCGAUACGGGCGAGCUAGAGUGUGGUAGGGGAGACUGGAAUUCCUGGUGUAGCGGUGGAAUGCGCAGAUAUCAGGAGGAACACCAAUGGCGAAGGCAGGUCUCUGGGCCAUUACUGACACUGAGGAGCGAAAGCGUGGGGAGCGAACAGGAUUAGAUACCCGAGUAGUCCCUGAGCGGGCUGGCAAGGCGCAU